rnacentral:rRNA from 1 species
GACAGAGGGUGCAAACGUUGUUCGGAUUUACUGGGCGUAAAGCGCGUGUAGGCGGCUUGGCAAGUCGGAUGUGAAAGCCCACGGCUCAACCGUGGAAGCGCAUCCGAAACUGCUUCGCUCGAGUCUCGGAGAGGAAGGUGGAAUGCUUGGUGUAGAGGUGAAAUUCGGUAGAUAUCAAGCAGAACACCUGCGGCGAAGGCGGCCUUCUGGACGAUGACUGACGGCUGAGACGCGAAAGCGUGGGGAGCAAACAGG